rnacentral:misc_RNA from 1 species
AACGCACCUUGCGCUCCUUGGUAUUCCGAGGAGCAUGCCUGUUUGAGUGUCAUUAAAUUAUCAAACUCCUUCAAUUUGAAGGAGGCUUGGAUUUGGAGUGUUGCCGGCUUUCAAGUUGGCUCCUCUUAAAAGUAUUAGCGUGUACCCUUUGUGGAAUAGGCUUUUGGUUUGAUAAUAUCUAUGCCAUUGCCGUGAAGCAAGUGUGUUCAGCUUCUAAAUAGACAACUCUUUGACAUUUUGACCUCAAAUCAGGUAGGACUACCCGCUGAACUUAG